GGCGCCAUUUCAGUUUCCUCCCAGAACUAAGUGCCUCUGCCAUUGCAGGUCCUCCAGGAAGGAGCCGAAGAAGAAGGCAGUGCAGUGCGGUUGCCGAAACGCAUGUUGUGCUGCUGCUGCUGGCCGUGCCUCUUAGUUUGUGAUGAUUACCCAGACGGCGUAGAUGAUCCCCGGCAGGUAGCCAAAGAAGGAGAGCAGGAGGCAGAUCCAGAACUCUUUCUGUUACACAUAUUAACGCGUCGUCGUCGUCAAUGCAGGAUUUUGCAGAGAAUUGCAGAGGCGGUCGGUGGCGAUGAUUGGGUACUACACCUCGCAGCCGACCUUGAGGAAGACGCCGAGGGGAGGCAGGAUGAUGGCGAUGACGAGG
rnacentral:lncRNA from 1 species